rnacentral:rRNA from 1 species
GAUGAACGCUGGCGGCGUGCCUAAUACAUGCAAGUCGAGCGAACAGACGAGGAGCUUGCUCCUCUGACGUUAGCGGCGGACGGGUGAGUAACACGUGGAUAACCUACCUAUAAGACUGGGAUAACUUCGGGAAACCGGAGCUAAUACCGGAUAAUAUAUUUAACCGCAUGGUUCAAUAGUGAAAGACGGUUUUGCUGUCACUUAUAGAUGGAUUCGCGCCGCAUUAGCUAGUUGGUAAGGUAACGGCUUACCAAGGCAACGAUGCGUAGCCGACCUGAGAGGGGGAUCGGCCACACUGGAACUGAGACACGGUCCAGACUCCUACGGGAGGCAGCAGUAGGGAAUCUUCCGCAAUGGGCGAAAGCCUGACGGAGCAACGCCGCGUGAGUGAUGAAGGUCUUCGGAUCGUAAAACUCUGUUAUUAGGGAAGAACAAAUGUGUAAGUAACUAUGCACGUCUUGACGGUACCUAAUCAGAAAGCCACGGCUAACUACGUG